rnacentral:misc_RNA from 1 species
GAUGAAGAACGUAGCGAAAUGAGAUAAGUAAUGUGAAUUGCAGAAUUCAGUGAAUCAUCGAAUCUUUGAACGCACAUUGCGCCCGCCAGCACUCUGGCGGGCAUGCCUGUUCGAGCGUCAUUUCAACCAUCAAGCCCCCAGGGGCUUGUGCUGGGGCCCUGCGGCUGCCCGCAGGCCCUGAAAACCAGUGGCGGGCUCGCUAGUCACACCGAGCGCAGUAGCACAUCUCGCUCAGGGCGUGCGGCGGGCUCCUGCCGUGAAACCCCCCACUGUAACCCCAAAGGUUGACCUCGGAUCAGGCAGGAAUACCCGCUGAACUUAAGCAUAUCAAUAAGCGGAGGA